rnacentral:tRNA from 1 species
UACUGAAUAGCUCAGUUGGUAGAGCGUCAGACUAUAAACCGAAAGGUCCUUGGUUUGAUCCCCGGUUCCGGCA